rnacentral:rRNA from 1 species
GACGAACGCUGGCGGCGUGCUUAACACAUGCAAGUCGAACGGAAAGGCCCUGCUUUUGUGGGGUGCUCGAGUGGCGAACGGGUGAGUAACACGUGAGUAACCUGCCCUUGACUUUGGGAUAACUUCAGGAAACUGGGGCUAAUACCGGAUAGGAGCUCCUGCUGCAUGGUGGGGGUUGAAAAGUUUCGGCGGUUGGGGAUGGACUCGCGGCUUAUCAGCUUGUUGGUGGGGUAGUUGCUUACCAAGGCUUUGACGGGUAGCCGGCCUGGGAGGGUGACCGGGCCCAUAGGAACAGGGGAGCGACCCGGACCCCUUCGGGAGGAAGGGGCGGGAGAUUUUCGGCAAAGGGCGGAAGGCUGGAGCAACAGCCCCGGAUGGGGAAAGGCGGCUUUCGGGGUAUAACCCAUUUUCGCGUAUGCCGGAGCGUCAGGACGGGAAGUGGUGAAAGAACCACGGCCAACCAAGUG